rnacentral:rRNA from 1 species
AUACGGGAGGCAGCAGUAAGGAAUAUUGGACAAUGGUCGCAAGACUGAUCCAGCCAUGCCGCGUGAAGGAUGAAGGCCCUAUGGGUUGUAAACUUCUUUUGUACGGGAAAAAACCUCUUUACGUGUAAAGAGCUGAUUGUACUGUAAGAAUAAGGAUCGGCUAACUCCGUGCCAGCAGCCGCGGUAAUACGGAGGAUCCAAGCGUUAUCCGGAUUCAUUGGGUUUAAAGGGUGCGUAGGCGGAAUGAUAAGUCAGUGGUGAAAUCCCUUCGCUUAACGAAGGAACUGCCAUUGAUACUGUCAAUCUUGAGUACAUUUGAUGUGGGCGGAAUGUGUCAUGUAGCGGUGAAAUGCUUAGAUAUGACACAGAACACCGAUUGCGAAGGCAGCUCACAAAACUGUAACUGACGCUGAGGCACGAAAGCGUGGGUAUCAAACAGGAUUAGAUACCCCGGUAGU